rnacentral:piRNA from 1 species
UGGAAUUGGAUAGAGAUGGUGAAUUUCAGCC